UACGUAGGGUGCAAGCGUUAAUCGGAAUUACUGGGCUUAAAGGGUGCGUAGGCUGCGCGGAAAGUUGGGUGUGAAAUCCCUCGGCUCAACCGAGGAACUGCGCCCAAAACUGCCGUGCUCGAGGAAGAUAGAGGUAAGCGGAACUUACGGUGGAGCGGUGAAAUGCGUUGAUAUCGUAAGGAACACCUGUGGCGAAAACGGCUUACUGGGUCUUUUCUGACGCUGAUGCACGAAAGCUAGGGGAGCAAACGGG
rnacentral:rRNA from 1 species